CUAACACAUGCAAGUCGAGCGAGGACUUCGGUUCUAGCGGCGGACGGGUUAGUAACGCGUGGGAACGUACCCUUUUCUACGGAAUAGCCUCGGGAAACUGAGAGUAAUACCGUAUACGCCCUUUGGGGGAAAGAUUUAUCGGAGAAGGAUCGGCCCGCGUUAGAUUAGAUAGUUGGUGGGGUAAUGGCCUACCAAGUCUACGAUCUAUAGCUGGUUUGAGAGGAUGAUCAGCAACACUGGGACUGAGACACGGCCCAGACUCCUACGGGAGGCAGCAGUGGGGAAUCUUAGACAAUGGGCGCAAGCCUGAUCUAGCCAUGCCGCGUGAGUGAAGAAGGCCUUAGGGUCGUAAAGCUCUUUCGCCUGUGAAGAUAAUGACUGUAGCAGGUAAAGAAACCCCGGCUAACUCCGUGCCAGCAGCCGCGGUAAUACGGAGGGGGUUAGCGUUGUUCGGAAUUACUGGGCGUAAAGCGCGCGUAGGCGGACAUUUAAGUCAGAGGUGAAAUCCCAGGGCUCAACCCUGGAACUGCCUUUGAUACUGGGUGUCUUGAGUUCGAGAGAGGUGAGUGGAAUUCCGAGUGUAGAGGUGAAAUUCGUAGAUAUUCGGAGGAACACCAGUGGCGAAGGCGGCUCACUGGCUCGAUACUGACGCUGAGGUGCGAAAGUGUGGGGAGCAAA
rnacentral:rRNA from 1 species